CCUACGGGAGGCAGCAGUAGGGAAUAUUGCUCAAUGGGGGAAACCCUGAAGCAGCAACGCCGCGUGGAGGAUGAAGGUUUUCGGAUUGUAAACUCCUUUUGUUAGAGAAGAUUAUGACGGUAUCUAACGAAUAAGCACUGGCUAACUCCGUGCCAGCAGCCGCCGUAAUACGGAGGGUGCAAGGGGUAGGCGGAAUCACUGGGCGUAAAGAGAGCGUAGGCGGGGUAAUAAGUCAGAUGCGAAAUCCUUUGGCUUAACUACAGAACUGCAUUUGAGACUGGUACACUGGAGUGUGGGAGAGGUAGGUGGAAUUCUUGGUGUAGGGGUGAAAUCCGUAGAGAUCAAGAGGAAUACUCAUUGCGAAGGCGACCUGCUGGAACAUUACUGACGCUGAUGCACGAAAGCGUGGGGAGCAAACAGGAUUAGAUACCCCAGUAGUC
rnacentral:rRNA from 1 species